UUAGCUCUCUUUGCCUUUUGGCUUAGAUCAAGUGUAGUAUCUGUUCUUUUCAGUUUAAUCUCUGAAACUGCUCUACGGAGUAGAAUCGUGAUUAUUCUAAUUUUUGCAACUCGGUCGGCAUCCCUCUGGGCUUGCCUAUGGUUGCCGACCACUGUGUCCCUGGUAUUACACUGCCUCCAGGCGACGCGAACUCAA
rnacentral:snRNA from 15 species